UGUGUUGCUUACCGACGUGAUGGAAUUCGCUCGUUUUGUUGCCUUUUUCCGCCCGAUGCUCGAUACAAAGGGUGUGGGGUGGACGCCAGGCGCGCUACGUGUUCCUUGCAUGCCUUGCCUCGCUGCGGGGCUGUGGAGGCGCACGGAGCUGUCGCCCGUUCUCUCGGAUGCGGAAUGUGAUGCCCGGGUGCAGGGUCUCGACCUUUGCUCGCCCCGAGCUACGCAUUUGUCCUUUGACGCGAACGACCGUCGCGGCCGUCUUGAUCCCGUCGGGGCGCACCUGUUGUGCCGUGCGGACGUCAUGCGGUCGUCGGCGUCGUCGAGGAAUGCUACCUGGUUGAUCCUGCCAGUANUCAU
rnacentral:misc_RNA from 1 species